rnacentral:tRNA from 1 species
GGGGUUGUGGCUUGGCGGUACAGCACUUGCCUAGCAUGUACGAGGCCCUGGGUUCAAGUCUCAGCACCACA